rnacentral:tRNA from 1 species
AGUUAGGUAGCUCAGUGGAUAGAGCACCAGACUUGGGUUCAAAUCUGGUCUCAGACACUUCCUAGCUG